ensembl:lncRNA
UUACAUACUUAUCCCAAGUCAACUUCAACAAGAAUCUAUCGUCUUUUUUUCACAGACUUCAGUUUAACAGUGAUUUUUAAACACAAUGUAAAUAUUCAAAAGGUUUUUGAGUCUUGUUAUAGCAUCGUAUGUUCUUUUGUUUGUGUUUGCUUUAUUUGGACUUUAAUGAAAGAUAAAGAGAAGGAGUCCAAGCAGCAGAUGGAUCAUUCCCAGUCUGAUAGAAGAAGCAUCACUUGUGGUUGUAGAGAGAGUGGUUGUAGUUGAUGUAGCAGUUGUAGCUGAGGCAGUGGUUGUAGUUGAUGCAGCAGUUGUAGUUGUCGUGUUUGUCGUUGGGGUUGUGGUUGUAGUUGUAGUUGGUGCGGUGGUUGUAGUUAUAAUCAUUGGAGAUGUAGUGGGGGCAGUGGUUGUAGUUGUAGCUGUUGUAGUUGUAGUUGGGGCGGUGGUUGUAGUUGUAGUUGGGGCAGUGGUUGUAGUUGAUGCAGCAGUUGUAGUGGUUGUAGUUGUAGUUGGGGUGGUGGUUGUAGUUGUGGCGGUGUUUGUAGUUAUAGUCGGGGCAGCGGGUGUAGUUGUAGUGGGGGCAGUGGUUGUGGUUGUAGUUGGCGCGGUGCUUGUAGUUGUAGUUGGGAUGGUGAUUGUAGUUGGGGCAGCAGUUAUAGUUGUAGUGGGGGAAAUGGUUGUGGUUGUAGUUGCGGUGGUGGUUGUAGUUGGGGCGGUGGUUGUAGUUGUAGUUUUGGCAGUGGUUGUAGUUGUGGUUGGGGUAGUGGUUGUGGUUGUAGUUGCGGCUGUGGUUGUACUUGGAGUGGUGGUUGUAGUUGUAGUUGGGGCAGUGGUUGUAGUUGUACUUGAGGUGGUGGUUGUAGUUGUAGUUGGGGCGGAGUUUGUAGUUGUAGAUGGGGCAGCGGUUGUAGUUGUAGUAGGGGCAGUGGUUGUGGUUGUAGUUGCGGCGGUGGUUGUAGUUUGGGAGGUGGUUGUAGUUGUAGUUGGAGCAGUGGUUGUGGUUGUAGUUGGAGCUGUGGUUGUAGUUGGAGCAGUGGUUGUAGUGGUAGUUGGGGAGGUGGUUGUAGUUGUAAUUGGGGCAGCGGUUGUAGUUGUAGUGGGGGAAGAAGUUGUGGUUGUAGUUGCGGCGGUGGUUGUAGUUGGGGCGUUGGUUGUAGUUGUAGUAGGGGCAGUGGUUGUGGUUGUAGUUGGGGUGGUGGUUGUAGUUGGGGCGGUGGAUGUACUUGGGGCGGUGGUUGUAGUUGUAGUUGGAGCAGUGGUUGUAGUUGGAGCAGUGGUGGUAGUUGUAGUUGGGGUGGUGGAUGUACUUGGGGCGGUGGUUGUAGUUGUAGUUGGAGCAGUGGUUGUAGUUGGAGAUGUGGUGGUAGUUGUAGUUAGGGUGGUGGUUGUAGUUGGGGCAGCGGUUUUAGUUGUAGUUGCGGUGGUGGUUGUGGUUGUAGUUGGGGCAGUGGUUGUGGUUGUAGUUGCGGUG